CCUACGGGUGACAGCAGUGGGGAAUAUUGCGCAAUGGGCGAAAGCCUGACGCAGCGACGCCGCGUGAGGGAUGAAGGUCUUCGGAUCGUAAACCUCUGUCAGCAGGGAAGAACGGUCACUGUGCUAAUCAGCAGUGAAUUGACGGUACCUGCAAAGGAAGCAUCGGCUAACUCCGUGCCAGCAGCCGCGGUAAUACGGAGGGUGCGAGCGUUAAUCGGAAUUACUGGGCGUAAAGCGCUCGUAGGCGGUAUGUCAAGUCAAGGGUGAAAUCCCCGCGCUCAACGUGGGAACUGCCUUUGAAACUGGCAGACUGGAGUGUGUGAGAGGAUAGUGGAAUUCCAGGUGUAGGAGUGAAAUCCGUAGAUAUCUGGAGGAACAUCAGUGGCGAAGGCGACUAUCUGGCACAUAACUGACGCUGAGGAGCGAAAGCGUGGGUAGCAAACAGGAUUAGAUACCCUAGUAGUC
rnacentral:rRNA from 1 species